rnacentral:rRNA from 1 species
CCUACGGGAGACAGCAGUGGGGAAUAUUGGGCAAUGGAGGAAACUCUGACCCAGCAAUGCCGCGUGAAUGAAGAAGGUCUUCGGAAUGUAAAGUUCUUUAGUCAGGGAAGAAGUCAAUGACGGUACCUGAAGAAUGAGCUCCGGCUAACUACGUGCCAGCAGCGGCGGUACUACGUAGGGAGCAAGCGUUGUUCGGAAUGACUGGGCGUAAAGGGUGCGUAGGCGGUUGUACAAGUUAGAAGUGAAAUACCCCGGGCUUAACUCGGGUGCUGCUUCUAAAACUGUAUGACUUGAGUGCAGUAGAGGUUAGUGGAAUUCGUAGUGUAGCGGUGGAAUGCGUAGAUAUUAGGAGGAACACCAGAGGCGAAGGCGGCUAACUGGACUGCAACUGACGCUGAGGCACGAAAGUGUGGGGAGCAACCAGGAUUAGAUACCCGUGUAGUC